AUUGAACGCUGGCGGCAGGCCUAACAAAUGCAAGUCGAGCGGAGCGGCGGAAGGGUGAGGAAUGCCUAGGAAUCUGCCUGGUAGUGGGGGAUAACGUCCGGAAACGGGCGCUAAUACCGCAUAAUAUCAGAUGAGCCUAGGUCGGAUUAGCUAGUUGGUGGGGUAAAGGCCUACCAGGGCGACGAUCCCUAGCUGGUCUGAGCAGAUGACCAGCCACACUGUAACUGAGACACGGUCCAGCCUCCUACGGGAGGCAGCAGUGGGGAAUAUUGCACAAUGGGCGCAAGCCUGAUGCAGCCAUGCCGCGUGUAUGAAGAAGGCCUUCGGGUUUUAAAGUACUUUCAGCGGUGAGGCGUUGCCCGCAGAAGAGGCCCCGGCUAACUCCGAGCCAGCAGCCGCGGUAAUAC
rnacentral:rRNA from 1 species